UUAUAAACAUUUGGAAGCUGCUGUGCCGCCUACUGCGACCGUUGCGUCCGAGUCGGGCGUAGUUGUCUAAAGCGCGGACCGUGUCUGUUGCAAGAUUUUCCGGUGGGUUUUGGUUAUCCGGUCGGCGACAGCGGCAAGAUAAGUUUGUGGAAACCCUGCCGGACAUACAUACAGCGACGGCAGCAGCAGGUGGUGACAGCGAAAAGAACCGUAGUCCCAGCAAUGCCCUCGUUUGAUCGCUGAUGCAGAACCUGGGUGUGCAAGGUGGUGAUGAUGUGGGAGGAAAAGAAACGAUCUAGAUGAUCGGUUAUGGUCCCGGUGACGAUCGGGCAGCCAGAUGAUCUUGGUACUGGACGUCGACGGACAGGAGCAGCUGAUCGCAGCUUCGUUGCUGAACGGCGGAAGAAUCAAUCUGAUGAGGGCAACUGUAUCGAACAAGUACAUCAGGUCCAGAAAAAUUUACCACACAGGGAAAUAAAAAUGCGAAACGUGGCGCGCGAUUCCUGUAACAAUUUCGACCCAGUGCAUGAUUCCGGAUAGCAACAAUUAGCCACGUGUCGGCCACGAUGACGACGAUCAACGUCCGAAUGGACUCGUCGUUUGCCAUUCACCAAGAGGACAUGAACCCGACAGCAGCAAACUUUCAUUGUUAGGUAAGUAAAUUCCGUAUUGCCAAAAUCACCUUUUGCCAGACACUUUUACGAUAAGGUUUUUUUCUGCAGUUUUGUUUUGGCGGGAAAACUAUCAGCCCCGGUAAUCCUCUUUCCUCCAAAUUUGUACAUAAAUGAUU